rnacentral:lncRNA from 1 species
GUUAGUAUAAACUAUAAGUAAUAUCUAUAUAUGGAACGUACAAGAAUUUGGAGGGAAAGAAAACGUCAUAAAAUGUUGAACUUUUACGAAAUGAUAGAUUUUUUCUUGACCUACAUUCAGUAAGAUACUGCCACCCAUAAAUGCUACACCAAAGUUUAGCUACUUAAGACCUAGAGAAACGAAAACGAAAGCACAUGACCAGAAAAAGAUGUCUGUACACCUACGUUUUUGUCCCGGUUUGAGGAUCAAAACGGUAUGUUUCAUAUUGACAAGCUACUCGAUGUGUCUGGUCUCUCUCUUUCCUUCUUGCCCUCACAC